rfam:Ictidomys tridecemlineatus contig022168, whole genome shotgun sequence.
UUUUUUAAAAAUUUAACAACAUGUACUAAAACUGGAACUAUCUAGAGAAGAUUAGCACAGCCCCUGUGCAAGGAUGGCAUGCAAAUUCACAGAGCAUUUUAUGAUUUUU